GCGUGGGGAGCGAACAGGAUUAGAUACCCUGGUAGUCCACGCCGUAAACGAUGGACACUAGAUGUUGGCCUCUUCGGGGGUCGGUGUCGUAGCUAACGCGUUAAGUGUCCCGCCUGGGAAGUACGCUCGCAAGAGUGCAACUCAAAGGAAUUGACGGGGGCCCGCACAAGCGGUGGAGCAUGUGCUUUAAUUCGAUGCAACGCGAAGUACCUUACCUGGACUUGACAUGGGGGUGAAAGUUUUCAGAGAUGAAAACCCGUUCCUUCGGGAACGCCCUACACAGGUGCAGCAUGGUUGUCGUCAGCUCGUGUCGUGAGAUGUUGGGUUAAGUCCCGCAACGAGCGCAACCCUUGUCCAUUAGUUGCCAGCGGGUCAUGCCGGGAACUCUAGGGAGACUGCCUGGUACAACCAGGAGGAAGGUGGGGAUGACGUCAAAUCAUCAUGGCCCUUACGUCCAGGGCUAGACACGUGCUACAAUGGCCGCUACAGAGGGCUGCAAGACUGCGAAGUCAAGCCAAUCCCUAAAAACCGCUCUCAGUUCGGAUUGGAGUCUGCAAUUCGACUCCAUGAAGCUGGAAUCGCUAGUAAUCACGGAUCAGCAUGCCGCGGUGAUACGUUCCCGGGCCUUGUACACACCGCCCGUCAAGCCACGUAAGAUGGCAGUGCCCGAAGUCGCU
rnacentral:rRNA from 1 species